rnacentral:rRNA from 1 species
ACGGGGUGCAGCAGGCGCGAAAACUUCGCAAUGGGGGCAACCCCGACGAGGGGAUUCCAAGUGCCAGCACUUUGUGUUGGCUGUUUUCCUGUCUAAAAAACAGGAGGAGUAAGGGGCGGGUAAGACGGGUGCCAGCCGCCGCGGUAAUACCCGCGCCCCUAGUGGUGGUCGAUAUUAUUGAGCCUAAAACGUCCGUAGCCGGUCUUUUAAAUCCUUGGGUAAAUCGGGCAGCUUAACUGUCCGAAUUCCGAGGAGACUGGAAGACUUGGGACCGGGAGAGGUCAGAGGUACUUCUAGGGUAGGGGUAAAAUCCUGUAAUCCUGGAAGGACCACCGGUGGCGAAGGCGUCUGACUAGAACGGAUCCGACGGUGAGGGACGAAGCCCUGGGGCGCAAACGGGAUUAGAUACCCCGGUAGUCCAGGGUGUAAACGCUGCGGGCUUGGUGUUGGGGGUCCUUCGUGGGCGCUCAGUGCCGGAGAGAAGUUGUUAAGCCUGCUGCUUGGGGAGUAUGUCCGCAAGGAUGAAACUUAAAGGAAUUGGCGGGGGAGCAC